UGGGGAAUAUUGCACAAUGGGCGGAAGCCUGAUGCAGCGACGCCGCGUGAGGGAUGACGGCCUUCGGGUUGUAAACCUCUUUCAGCAGGGACGAAGCGCAAGUGACGGUACCUGCAGAAGAAGCGCCGGCCAACUACGUGCCAGCAGCCGCGGUAAGACGUAGGGCGCGAGCGUUGUCCGGAUUUAUUGGGCGUAAAGAGCUCGUAGGCGGCUUGUCGCGUCGACUGUGAAAUCUCAGGGCUCAACUCUGACAUUGCAGUCGAUACGGGCAGGCUAGAGUUCGGUAGGGGAGACUGGAAUUCCUGGUGUAGCGGUGAAAUGCGCAGAUAUCAGGAGGAACACCGAUGGCGAAGGCAGGUCUCUGGGCCGAUACUGACGCUGAGGAGCGAAAGCGUGGGGAGCGAACA
rnacentral:rRNA from 1 species